rnacentral:snRNA from 1 species
GGAUGUGAGGGUGAUCUGACUGUGACAUCUAUUACCCCAUUGAUCGCCAGGGUUGAUUCGGCUGAUCUGGCUGGAGAGGUGGGUGUCCCCUUCCUCCCUCACCUCUCCAUGUGCUUCCCUCCCAAAGCUGCACACUCUUGGAAGAGGACGACGUUCCAGGUAUAGAAGGAGUGUAGCGAGGUCUCCAGUCUUUGUUC